CAAAAGCAUCCAUUUGAGAGUCUUCUAUCGUCAUUUUUUUUCUCACUUUCUUUUCUUGUUGAAGAUCUAGACACUCGUUCAUUUCUAUUCGACCUUUUCCGGUCGAAAUAUGUGGUAAGGAUCUAGAGGAGAUCAACGCGGUGUCAGCUCCGACAAGCCGAAGAGUUGCUGCUUUGGAAUUCUUGAGGAAGGUAGGGAGAUUUUUGUGAGUCUACUGAACAUGAAGAGGCCCUUCACUGCUAUGAACCCACUGAAUGUGAGAGGCCCUUCACGGUUAUUUCUGAUUUGAAUUAUCGAUUAGGGUUCUUGAUUAGUGGCUUUGGCAUUUCUACUUAAUGAAAUGGCCGAGUUGGUUCCAACUUUUCUCUCAAAUGCAUUUGCAACUAAGGCAGCAGUGUGGUGCAAUGGGUUUAUACGAGGCCUCCGUUCAUGUCGCCUUUGAGGCUUUACUAUGGAUUUGAGGGUCAACUGAUGGUACAUAACUAUUAUCAACAUGGGGGAAAGGAAUGCCAUUCUAUGGGUACUUGCUUCAUGAUUUGUUCGACGGGAUCCAAAGCCCGACAUUAUCUGCCGAAAUGGCCAAUGGUAAUACCACCUUCUCUGCUACUGUUUUGACCAAAAACGGAAGGCCAGAUGAUCAUCACAAAAUUCUGAGCCUUAGUUUGCUUUCUUCCCUCUAUCUAUUCAUUUGUUUUCCACUCUAUCACUAACUUAUUAUUAUCAAUAUUUUUUUUUGGUAGGCAAUAAAUUAUUGCCUAGCAUUUAUAAGCAGCCAAUUGUUUUGAGGUAGAUAGAUAUGAAGGUUUGUUCACGGACUCAUUUCCUGAUAUGAUUUUUGUUGUUCAAUAUAUAUUUGUUAGAUAAACCAAAAUUGGUAAUAGUGUUGUCUUUAAAUUCCAGUAAAAUAUGUUAUUAUAUGUACAUGCAAUGAUGCAAUUAAAAUUAAUCUUACUUAGUGUGGUUGCAGAUUUCAUUGGACGUUCUGAUAGAUAUGGUGGUGGGUUGAAUUAAGUGAUGGAAAAUAAUUGACUAAGUUGAACUAAAUUUGGCGGAAUGAGACAUAGUUGUUGUUUACAUAUUUGGGCUCUGAUGUGUUUUCCCCAUCUCUUCUCUCUUCGCUCCCUCGGCCUCUAUGUGUAUGUGUGUAUCGAACCGUCUUUCGUUGUGAUAUUAUCUUAUUUUUUCUUUAUCUAUGACUGGAAUGCUGAGGGUUGUAGAUUCUAAUUAUGUUAGUAAAUCACUUAUCCAUUAUUAUAACCUUAAGGGUUUUAUAUUAUAGUUAUGUUCUUCUAAAUUCUCUUCCUGUUGUUUUCAUUAUAUUUUUCCCUUGCUGAUUACUGCUAUAAUUGUAUGAUUUUGAGUUCAAGAGGCAUUUUUGGUCUGUAAAGCUAAAAAUAUUAACCAACAAGAGAAAGCAAAUUUUCAGCUACAAACAUUAUGAAUUGAACCUAGAAUAAGAAUUAGAUGGUUUAGAUGUUUUCUUAUUCUUUCCUUUGUUUGACAUUAGAUCUUUAGAGUCAGUUAGUUUAAAUUUAAUCCGUACGUUCUUUUAAACAAUUAAGAACUUCAAAUUGCUUAAGUUUUAGGUAUUUAUUUCUAUUCAUUGGGAAUUGUUUCACAGGCAAACCGAAGAAUAGCAUAAACUCAGGGCUAUGGCAAGGUUGCACUGUUUGCUGUUCCAUUCCAGUGUCUAAUGCAGAUAUUGAGUAGAUAUUUUUCAAAACGAAAUAUCCCUAGCUUCGUCUCAUUGAGAUUUGUGAAAUCCUUCGAAAUUUGCUCUGGAGCCUUCUAAUAGACCUGCAAGUAUGACUUUUAAUGCCAAUUUUUUGAUAUAAUAUCAGUUUGUGCUUUGGAAAACACUUUCGAGUCUAUCUUUUUUUCCCUCCCUCCUACUCAUUUCAGUUAGUUUCCAGAAGAUUAAUACUUAUUUUUCCACUGUUUUCUACAAUGACAUAAAUUUUGUUUUCUUUUGUAUGAGUUCAUGAACUACUGCUUAUUCAUCUGCCAAGGGACAUGUAACUUAUGCUUUCUAUCUUGUAGUAUAAUGUCCUUAUCUACAUCAUCAAUUCAUUACAAUUUGCAAUUCACAAAAUUCAUUAUUUUUCUAUUUUGGGUGUAUCAAUGAGUCUUUGGUUCUUUCCAACAAGGUUUUAUUCAACAUUUGCUCAUUUUGUAGGUUCCACCAUUCAGUGGUUCUUUUCAAAUUUUCGUUUGCAGCUUUCACAUACAAGUGACGUAGGCUUGACAAAAAUUGAUAAGUGAUUUCCUUUUUUCUUUUUCACCUGAAGUUAAU
rnacentral:lncRNA from 1 species